GUUGUCGGAUUCACUUCAAUCCAUGUGUGUUGGUGUGAAUUGAGGUGGAAUUUAGUUCAAAUUCCACUUCAUCCACCUCAAUACAUGUGAAUUGAUGUGAAUCUGACU
rfam:Sorghum bicolor cultivar BTx623 chromosome 1, whole genome shotgun sequence.